AUGUAGCAAGCUGGAUAAAAAAUGUAUAAAAAAAUGUGAGGUUCCAUAAAACAACACAGAAACUAUGGCCAUUUACCAAAUUUAUGUAAACUUUCACUGUUUCAAAUUAUUAGCAAGUUAUAAUUAAAACUCAUGUAAACAAGACAAUACCAAUUUAAU